rnacentral:rRNA from 1 species
GACGCACGCUGGCCGCGUGCUUAACACAUGCAAGUCGAACGGUAAGGCCCUUCGGGGUACACGAGUGGCGAACGGGUGAGUGACACGUGGGUGAUCUGCCCUCCACUGCGUGAUAAGCUUGGGUAACUGGGUCUAAUACCGGGUAGGACCACUGCCUGCAUGGGUGGUGGAGGAAAGCUUUUGCGGUGUGGGAUGGGCCCACGGCCUAUCUGCUUGUUGGUGGGGUGAUGGCCUACCAAGGCGACGACGGGUCGCCGGCCUGAGAGGGUGACCUCCCACAAGGGGACUGAGAUACGGCCCAGGCUCCUACGGGAGGCAGCAGUGUGGAAUAUUGUACGAUGGGCGCAAGCCUGAUUCAGCGACGCCGCGAGAGGUAUGACGGCCUUCGGGUUGUAAUCCUCUUUCAGCACCGUCGAAGCGCAAGUGACGGUAGGUGCAGAAGAAGGACCGGCCAACUACGUGCCAGCCGCCGCUGUAA